rnacentral:rRNA from 1 species
UACGUAGGGGGCAAGCGUUAUCCGGAUUUACUGGGUGUAAAGGGGGCGCAGACGGCGAUGCAAGCCAGGAGUGAAAGCCCGGGGCCCAACCCCGGGACUGCUCUUGGAACUGCGUGGCUGGAGUGCAGGAGGGGCAGGCGGAAUUCCUAGUGUAGCGGUGAAAUGCGUAGAUAUUAGGAGGAACACCAGUGGCGAAGGCGGCCUACUGGACGGUGACUGACGCUGAGGCUCGAAAGCGUGGGGAGCAAACAGG